GAUGAACGCUGGCGGCGUGCCUAAUACAUGCAAGUCGAGCGAACAGACGAGGAGUUUGCUCCUCGGACGUUAGCGGCGCACGGGUGAGUCACACGUGCAUAACCCACCUAUAAGUCUGGGAAAACUUCGGGAAACCGGCGCUAAUACCGUAUAAUAUAUUGAACCGCCUGGUUCAAUAGUGAAAGACGUCUUUGCUGGCUCUGAUAGCUGCAUCCGCGCCGGAUUAGGUGGUUGGUAAGGUAACGGCUUACCAAGGCAACGAUGCGUAGCCGACCUGAGGGGCUGAUCGCCCACCCGAGAGCUUAGCCGCCGACCCGACUCCUACGAGAGGCCGCAGUCUGGAAUGGUAGGCAGUAGGCGGAAGCCUGACGGAGCGACGCCGCGUGAGAGGUGGCAGUCUUCGGUUCGUAACACUCUGUUAUGAGGUGAAAACAAAUUUGUAAGUAAAUGAGCCCAUCGUGACGGUACCUAAACAGAAAGCCACGGCUAACUACGUG
rnacentral:rRNA from 1 species